rnacentral:rRNA from 1 species
AUUGAACGCUGGCGGCAGGCUUAACACAUGCAAGUCGAGCGGGGGAAGGUAGCUUGCUACUGGACCUAGCGGCGGACGGGUGAGUAAUGCUUAGGAAUCUGCCUAUUAGUGGGGGACAACAUCUCGAAAGGGAUGCUAAUACCGCAUACGUCCUACGGGAGAAAGAAGGGGAUCUUCGGACCUUGCGCUAAUAGAUGAGCCUAAGUCGGAUUAGCUAGUUGGUGGGGUAAAGGCCUACCAAGGCGACGAUCUGUAGCGGGUCUGAGAGGAUGAUCCGCCACACUGGGACUGAGACACGGCCCAGACUCCUACGGGAGGCAGCAGUGGGGAAUAUUGGACAAUGGGGGGAACCCUGAUCCAGCUAUGCCGCGUGUGUGAAGAAGGCCUUAUGGUUGUAAAGCACUUUAAGCGAGGAGGAGGCUACUCUAGUUAAUACCUAGGGAUAGUGGACGUUACUCGCAGAAUAAGCACCGGCUAACUCUGUGCCAGCAGCCGCAGUAA